rnacentral:rRNA from 1 species
AGUGAACGCUGGCGGUAGGCCUAACACAUGCAAGUCGAACGGCAGCACAGUAAGAGCUUGCUCUUACGGGUGGCGAGUGGCGGGCGGGUGAGGAAUACAUCGGAAUCUACUUUUUCGUGGGGGAUAACGUAGGGAAACUUACGCUAAUACCGCAUCCGACCUACGGGUGAAAGCAGUGGAUCUUCGGACCCUGCGCGAUUGAAUGAGCCGAUGUCGGAUUAGCUAGUUGGCGGGGUAAAGGCCCACCAAGGCGACGAUCCGUAGCUGGUCUGAGAGGAUGAUCAGCCACACUGGAACUGAGACACGGUCCAGAGUCCUACGGGAGGCAGCAGUGGGGAAUAUUGGACAAUGGGCGCAAGCCUGAUCCAGCCAUACCGAGUGGGUGAAGAAGGCCUUCGGGUUGUAAAGCCCUUUUGUUGGGAAAGAAAAGCAGCAGGUUAAGACCCAGCUGUUCUGACGGUACCCGAAGAAUAAGCACCGGCUAACUUCGUG